UACGAAGGGGGCUAGCGUUGCUCGGAAUCACUGGGCGUAAAGCGCACGUAGGCGGAUCUUUAAGUCAGGGGUGAAAUCCUGGAGCUCAACUCCAGAACUGCCUUUGAUACUGGGGAUCUCGAGUCCGGAAGAGGUGAGUGGAACUCCGAGUGUAGAGGUGAAAUUCGUAGAUAUUAGGAAGAACACCGGUGGCGAAGGCGGCCCACUGGCUCGAUACUGACGCUGAGGUGCGAAAGCGUGGGGAGCAAACAGG
rnacentral:rRNA from 1 species